rnacentral:rRNA from 1 species
AUUGAACGCUGGCGGCAGGCCUAACACAUGCAAGUCGAACGGUAACAGAAAGCAGCUUGCUGCUUUGCUGACGAGUGGCGGACGGGUGAGUAAUGUCUGGGAAACUGCCUGAUGGAGGGGGAUAACUACUGGAAACGGUAGCUAAUACCGCAUAACGUCGCAAGACCAAAGAGUGGGACCUUCGGGCCUCUUGCCAUCGGAUGUGCCCAGAUGGGAUUAGCUAGUAGGUGGGGUAACGGCUCACCUAGGCGACGAUCCCUAGCUGGUCUGAGAGGAUGACCAGCCACACUGGAACUGAGACACGGUCCAGACUCCUACGGGAGGCAGCAGUGGGGAAUAUUGCACAAUGGGCGCAAGCCUGAUGCAGCCAUGCCGCGUGUAUGAAGAAGGCCUUCGGGUUGUAAAGUACUUUCAGCGGGGAGGAAGGGAGUAAAGUUAAUACCUUUGCUCAUUGACGUUACCCGCAGAAGAAGCACCGGCUAACUCCGUG